UACGUAGGGGGCAAGCGUUGUCCGGAAUCAUUGGGCGUAAAGCGCGUGUAGGCGGCUCGAUAAGUCUGCUGUGAAAGUCCAGGGCUCAACCCUGGGAUGCCGGUGGAUACUGUCGAGCUCGAGUCCGGAAGAGGCGAGUGGAAUUCCUGGUGUAGCGGUGAAAUGCGCAGAUAUCAGGAGGAACACCAAUGGCGAAGGCAGCUCACUGGGACGGUAUUGACGCUGAGACGCGAAAGCGUGGGGAGCAAACAGG
rnacentral:rRNA from 1 species